CUAGAAGUGUGUCGUUGGAGACGGGAUGCGUUUUUAGUGUUAUAUAAUUUAAAUCACGUCUGUGAUCUUCUUUAAAUGGUCUCGAGCAGCAGAUAAACAUGACAUCUAACGGAUGAUCAGCUUCCCAACUGAAGGGCUCCUCCUUGUGGACAUGAAGCAUAUCUUACAGAACUGAACCACAGAGGGAAAAUCACUCUUACUGACUGACUUAGAUUGCAUGGGGAAAUGCAGAUCUACCUCUGCCUUUUCCUGUGACAUUGCCUUCCUUACUUAUUCAGUCACAAAUAGCCGCUGAGAGACAGUGCGUGUUGACAACAACAAACGCGUUUCGUCAAGAUGUUUGGCACCGUACGCCUUCUGUAGUAGCAGGUGGAUAAUAAAAGGUAAAGUUUUACGUCUGUUCAGCAGGCAGUUCAGCAAGAGAGCAGCACGUAAACAAGCUGCUGGCAUAUUUAUAUUUACAAUUACAAGCUUAAAUAAUAAUCAGUUCAUAUUUAAAUGUGUACUUAAAGUGCUAAGCAAACAAUUUUGCACGAUAAAUGACCUUAU